GCCAGGCAGCACUGCAAAAAGCAGGAGAGCGGGCGGGGGCGGGGGUGGACCCGAUGGCUGUAGCUGAUGCCCAGCUGUACCGUGGGGCGGAGAAGGGCUGCUGUGCCUGCCCGAAGGCAGCGGGUUUGCCUCUGCUGAAUCUUCAAAGCUCCUCGAUCCACACAUCGGUGGAGGGAGGUCCCGGUAAGAAACACAGAACUAACAAGCUGCCACCAACUGGAAGAAUUCGGGAAAGGUCAAAAGGAGAGAGGAAACUCCAGUCCAUAUGUCCUACCAACCUCCCAGGAUCCUUCUGGCUGGAAGCCAUCUUGGCUGAGUGGAUGCAAGCACCAUCAGGAAGGAGUCCUGACUCAGAAGGAUCGGCCAGAGACAACCCAGAAACUAAUCCCAUCACCAUAAAACACAAGACUGUGAGCCACGUGGCAGAGCCCUUCUGGUUUCCUUUAUGCUGCUGUUCUCUGCCUGGGCGCCACUUCCCAAUAGAGUCUCUUGCUUUGUCAGUACGUGCGUCUCCUUGGACAAUUCAUUUCUGAGUGUUAGAUAAAAGCCCACUCUCGGGCCCUUGGAAGGGGUCCCCCUUCCUGUAACAAUUCCCUGUUUCCCCACUCAAAUAUCCAAAGGAUGUGUGACCUAACUGAAUGUAUUUAAGAUAAUCUUUUUUUCAGUCAAUGAAAUAGUUAAUUAUCUAUUUAUAACAAGUAACUUACUUGCCAUCUGUGAGGUUGGCAAGUCAUGAUCACAGGUUAUGUGUGACAACGUGUUACUUUAGAAGAGUGCUCUCAUCACCCUAUCCUGUCACUCAAGUUUUUGCCACCUCAUCCACCACACCUGUGGGCUCAGGGCCUCUGCCAUCGUCAAAGCCACCUUUUGAGUCAUCUGAGUCGUCCAAGCACGUCUUCUCUCCCUUCUUGGUUCUCUGCGAUGCAACAUUUUUGAAAUCUGUAGGAUGCUUUCAUGGGCAUUUUUAUCCAAGCUUCAAGCACCUAUUUGCAUAACAUUAGGGCAGCUGGCGGUCCCAUUCAUCGGAGGUGUCCCUGCCUGAUCCCCAUCCUGUAACCCCGGAUUGCGUGUUCUUAAGUGUCCUCAAAGGAUCUGUGCACACUCGCACUGGAGCCUAUGACGCCAUAGGAUCGGUUCCAAUCUGGGUUAAACUUGCUAACCACCCCUCAAGCGGUUCCUCAGAUGACCUUGGCCAGAAGGACCCAUGCAGGUUGUUUUAGGCAGCAUAUCUCACUGGUUGUUCAAAAACUAAUCACUAAGAGCACUCCACUACGUGAAAGAAUGUGUGCCGUCUUUCUUGAAAAUAAACAGCCAUCUGUUUCGGCAUCAUUUGGUGAGUGGGGAAAUUCGUGGUAUAUCCAAACAGAGUGCUUUUGGUGGUUCUGGGCGUAAGCUCAUGUAACCUCACUACCUCGCCUUGUGAGGUGGGCUCUGGGAUACUUACCAUUUUAUGGAUGGACAAAACUGAGUCUUGGAGAUGGGAAGGGACUUGCCCAGAGUCACACAGGAAGAGGCAGUAGAGCAAUCUGAACCCUGGGUCUGACUGAAAACAGGAGAGGAGAGGGCUGCAGGGGCCUGGGUCCCUCUGGAGUUGGGAAGGGCCCUGGGUGGAGAGGAGAACGCUGUGGAGCUAGACACCUUCAUCGCCCAACAGGAGCACAGCCGCUGAGCCUUAAGGGCCUCCAUGUCUCCCAGGACCCCCUGACCCCACUGGAGACCACCCCAGUCCAGGCCUGGAACCAAUGGCCAUGUGGGAGCACCAUCAUCUCCCCAGGCUGGGGGCGGGGCAGGGCGAGGAAAUCCAGUGGCCACAUGUGCACCCCUGAGUCCCGGGUGUGUUUCUUCUCUUCUGGAAAUCAGGAUGAGAAGAGUGAAGAGGAAGAGAUGGGAGAGGGGAAACUGAGAGAAGACAGGGGCCUGAUUUCCCCUGCAGUCACGGCUGCCAGAUCCCAGACAGAGCUGGAUCCUCCCAGGGGUGCCAGCCGUCCCACCAAAAGGCCUCCCUUGGCCUUGCUCUCGUCUCUUCACAGCUGCAACGUGCAGAGGGUUCUCACAGGCAGGGUUUUAAUUUCACAAACAUAUGCUCAGAAAACGGUGCUUCCCGCACUCCUCCCCCCCACACCCAACAGCAGCCACAUCAGCAAAUCAUGCCACAGAGAAAAGUUCUGCUGCCAGCAGGGCUGGAAGACGGCAGGAGCCAAAGGCCACUCGGGUGGGAUGCUCUGUUUUAAAUUAGCCAGUGGCUGUCCCCUCCCCCAGGGACAGUAACCAGAUUUGGGGGUGAGCGGGUUUGCCCCAGCUCAUGAACACUUGAUGGACGAUCCCCAGAGUGUGAGGCUGGGCCCAUCUGCGGCCACACAAAACCUCCAGUUCAAGUAGCCCAGUGACCUCAGGACAGUGACCGCAGAGGACUGGGCGAGGUGGCUUCUGGGACCCGCCCAGUAAGACAGGCUCUAAUCCCAUAUUCUUCUGGUUUCUCCUUAUAAUGGCUCCACUGGGCCCCUGAGUCGUCCCUGAACUGUCUAAAAAGGGAACACGUGUACUUUGUGGUGAGGACACUUACCACAAUUUAGUCUCAAGAAGAGACUGGAAGACAGCUGUCAUCUCUGACAACCCUCUUCUUAUGGGGUGGGGGCUCCCACUGUGGGGAUCUCGGUGAAUGGUAGGCGCCUGCCUCCUGGAACAGAGGCGGGGGAGGGCAGGGACCUUGGCCUGGACAAUGGGCUAACCCUGCCCAGGGCUCCAAAUGGUGUGAUCUUGGGAAAAUUAACCUCUUUAAGUGUCCAUUCCUCACUCAUAGAAAGGGAACAACAACUUGAUACGCUGUUGAGUGAAAACAGCAAAGCCCUAAAAAUAAUGCCUGACACAAAGUAAGUGCUCAACAAAUAUUAGAUCUAAUCUUCAAAACACCUUCAGAGGGUAAAGAAGCAU